GUUACAUUACACUAAAUCAUUGUGUAUCCCUCCGUGGUCCAUUCGAAAGUAGUGCCUAUUUCUAAAGAGUUCCUUUUCUCUUCUUGAAUAUAAGCCAUUUAACAAUGUGAGACAUGUCUUUUGUGGUUAUUUGUAAUAUCCUGUAUGUGUCUGGAGUACUUUGAUGCCUUGGAUUGGAAGCUAACUUAAAAGAUGAACUUUUGAGGGUGUGUUUUCUAUUGUGUGGGGCUUUUGUCGAAAUUAGGAUUCCGAAACACGUUUUUCUACGGUGGGUUCAUUCGACAGCGAUUUACUUUCUUAGAAGUUGCGAGACGGUAUGUUUUUGAUUGCAAUUAUUGGAAGAUGACAGAUCCAUCUUUAAAAUGAUACCAGGUUCGGAAAAAUUGAUACGUCGGAAAGGCAAGAAAAAUGCUGUGAAAGUUGUCAGUUUUAUAAUGGGACCCUAUGGGAAUCGGAAUUAGUGUAAUAUAACCUUUAAAAAGCACAUUUACUGCAAUGUCAAGGUCACAUGGAUUCGUCUGCAAGCGAGACAAGUAGAAAAUGAAUUUUAAUGAAUGUUUUGAUGAUUUGGGUGCUAAAAUAGAUGAGAGGUGUCAAUAUUUUGGUCCAAAUGGAUGUUUUAGGUGGUUUUGGACUGUUCCGGAUGGGUGGGGGACCUGGUAUGGACAAGUAAGGGUAACAUUUCCAACAAAUCUUAAAUGUAAAUAUUAUUAUGUCCAUAGAUUGAAGUUUCAGGUGGAGAGCAAGAUGAAAAAUAUGCAAAAUUACAUGCAUGCAACCCAUUUAUGCCAUUUUUCUCUUUGUUUGUAGGCCUGACCGUUUGUCCUUGAGCCGUAGAUGGUCAACAAUCCGCUAGCUGUCUUGCUCUGACUGGUGCACUGGACAUGAUUUCAAUAGUCAGCCAGACCAUGAUUGAGCUUAAGGGUUGUGCUGCGGAUGCAGCCUGUGCAGUUCCGGGAGAAAGUCACUGUCUCGGGCAAUGCGGUCUGGUAUCAGGUCUGGAUGAUCCUUGCCUGACUGCGGGUUUGUGUACACCUCAAUCCGACUCUGUGUCCUGAACAGAGGCCGCAGUGGUGCAGCGCUUGUGGACGAUCCAUCAACAUCCUGAAAGGUCAACACUACACCAAGCUGGGAAAAUUGAUCCUGAUAGUCAUCCCCAGGUAGUGGAAUGAAUGUUCACUGAACUACAGAGGAAUCACACCCAAAUGACUUUCCUGCCACGACAUUAGUGUGGCCACUCGCGUAGGAAUUCCUUAGCAAACAUGCUCUUUUGCAUGGUGACUGUGGACAUUUUUGCAAAACUUACGCUUUCAACACUGGAUUUUAAAGAGAAUACUUAAUAAAAUGUCGCUAACAGGACUUAUUUAUAUGAGAGAGACUAUCUGGAUGCGCAUUAAGUGUCACUUUGUGUCGUAAGCUGUUGAAGGAGCGAUUUGCGCCUUUUUAAGUGUUAAUUUUGGGUAGCCGGCUUGUAUCGGCUUGAAAGCUGAAAAUUAUGCCUCUCAUCAUAAUAGCAUUAAUUUUUGUAAUUGCAAUGUGUAUGUUUAGAUUGUAAGUGAAGCUUUUAAUAAUAAUUUUCUUAAAAAACAUGAUUUUAUAUGCUG